ACUCUAAGCGGUGGAUCACCCGGCUCGUGCGUCGAUGAAGAACGCAGCGAAAUGCG
rnacentral:rRNA from 1 species